CGGACCUUGUACACACCGCCCGUCACAGUACGAAAGUCGUUCACACCAGAAAUUAUUUUAGCUAACCUUAAACGGAGGCGAAUAAUGAAGGUGUGGGGGUGAUUGGACUG
rnacentral:rRNA from 1 species